rnacentral:sRNA from 1 species
UGCAAAUGUUUUAGCACUAAAAGGCAUUACUAUUUUGGCAAAACUGUUGAAGAAUUCUAAGAAGUUGUUUAUUAAUAAGAAUACAGUAUCGGUAUGAGCCAUGUACUUUGCAAUCAUGCUUUCUUCCCAGUAUCAAACUUAUAAUAAAAUAAAUGAGGUCAAUGGAUAUCCUACACUUACAACAACUCAUCUGAUGGUGACAAAACAUCUAUUCCCUUGUGAUGAUGCCAUGUAGAGAGAGAGAGACUGCAAAUCAGGGUGUACUGCAAUCUUGUUGAUUCUCCAUAACACGGCAUGAAAUUGGAUACAACAGGCAUUAAUCGGUAGCUGAAACGUUCUAUUGUGACAAUAGAAAGUUAUUUCAGUAAUUCAAGUCGUUUCUUUGUUAAAUUGAUCUUCUCUUCUGCUUCUGUGGCUUUUUCUUGCACCCCGCGGACCACAGCUUCCGGUGCUUUCUCUACAAACUGUAGCAAGUCACGGCAAUAAGAAAUUUGGCAAACACUCUUGUUAUACUUUUGUGUAUCCAUGUUAGAAUAAUUUUAUAAAAACACUAGAGGAGCCUAGAAAGCCGUUAAACAAAAUUAUCACCAGAAAUAUCAACCAUAUCGGCCAGAGGGAGAUAAGCCUCCAGUCCCUCUCCAGCCACGAGGUGAACUGACUGAUCUGCAUUUCCUGAAGUAUAUUACGUGACAUUGUUUCAGCCGCCAGCAUUUAUUUAGGACCAAUAAAUAAUUGACUUGAGAAAAAUGAUACAAAUUCAAUCUUCAACCACGGAGGGCAAAAAGUUCAGUAGAAAUCAUGCCUGGAGAAGAAUCUGUGAAUUCCAGAUUUUGUAGAUCCAGCCGAGAGAGAAGAGCUAGAACCUCUCGUUCUUCCUGAUGAAAAAUAAGAUACACCACAACAUUACUUUGUUUUUCUCAAGAACAAGAGCAGAGGGGAAAAUCUAUGAAAUUCAUCAAGAUUACAGUUCCCGUGUUGCUCACAAAUAAAUUGAUUCCUCCAAACAUGGGGCAGGUCAGUUUUAAGAAGGUAGACGGAAAGAAGAAAAGAUCAAGAGGAAUAAGGUUAGGGACCAAGAAUGGGAAGAGUUAGAAAAAAAAAAGAAUUUUAUUGGACAUAUAAAGAAGAAAAGAAAAAUAGAACACUCUCUCCUCUAAGGGUUUCCUCUUCACUAAGGAUUUCAACUUUCACAAAGAACUAAUGCUCAAUCUGUCAAACGAACACCCCCUCACCAAUCCUUAUUUCCUAUUAUUAGAGAAUAAUAACGUGUAAUAGGAAAACAUUACUUCUUCUUUAAUCCUAGAUUAUUAGCUUGUUUGUUGUGCCAGCUGUCCUUUUUGUUAGUUUGUUAUAUGUACGGGCACACUUGUAUCCAAGAUGCAUCUUCUAUAAAAUGCUCCAUUUCCUCACUGUUUUCAGAGGGUUGAAAUAAUGAAAACCUUUUUUACAUUUUAAUAUUUUUUUCUAAGACUUAUUUAUGUUUAACACCACAAGUAACUCAUUAAUAUUCUAACCAUACCUGAUUUCUCCUUCUCCAUAUAUCAUAACAAAAGCAUACUUACGAUUUAUAUAUUAAAAUAAAGAAAAGAAUCACAUGAUGAUAAAUAAAAUUGCAAUUCAUAUUCAUUUUCUUAAAUAUUGGAGGUAGAGAAAUGAGGAGUAACCACACUUACAGCAAUAUAGUCUAUAACUUCUUUGUUUGCAACUACAGAUGCUGAUAUACGUUUUGCCGGCUCAACAGAAUAAUCACAUGAUGAUAAAUAAAAUUGCAA